rnacentral:rRNA from 1 species
CCUACGGGAGGCAGCAGUGGGGAAUAUUGCACAAUGGGCGCAAGCCUGAUGCAGCCAUGCCGCGUGUGUGAAGGAGGCCUUCGGGUUGUAAAGCACUUUCAGCGGGGAGGAAGGCGGUGAGGUUAAUAACCUCAUCGAUUGACGUUACCCGCAGAAGAAGCACCGGCUAACUCCGUGCCAGCAGCCGCGGUAAUACGGAGGGUGCAAGCGUUAAUCGGAAUUACUGGGCGUAAAGCGCACGCAGGCGGUCUGUCAAGUCGGAUGUGAAAUCCCCGGGCUCAACCUGGGAACUGCAUUCGAAACUGGCAGGCUAGAGUCUUGUAGAGGGGGGUAGAAUUCCAGGUGUAGCGGUGAAAUGCGUAGAGAUCUGGAGGAAUACCGGUGGCGAAGGUGGCCCCCUGGACAAAGACUGACGCUCAGGUGCGAAAGCGUGGGGAGCAAACAGGAUUAGAUACCCCAGUAGUC